ACACAGAAAUCAUAUGAGAGACUUGGGGUCAGAAUGAGAAAGUACUUGGGGAUGAGACCUGAGGACCCAGUAUCCCAAGGGCUCUUGAAAGUUCAUUGUGUGAUUAAAGCCUGGCAAAAUACGCAGAAAAUGCUUUAGAAGGUGGGGGGGAUGUAGUGAAUGGUCACUGGGGGACCCUCCUGUGGGAGGCCCUGGAGGCGUGUGUCUGGAGGGGAGAUAAGAAGGAAAAAAAAAAAGAAAAAAAAAAAGUGAAACUAAUGGUAUUGACAGUGCAGCGGGUAGUGAAGCAGAGGGUUAGAGAAAGAGGAAAAAAUCUUCAGGGGGAGUCAGGGCCAGGAUGGAAAGGAGAGAAAGAGAGAUGAAGGAAUGGCAGGCAAAGAAGGCUGCCUGUGUUGUGGCCUGAGUCCUAGCAGAGACAGGCUUUGAUAAGAUGUUUUAAGUGUGGCCAGGCUGGCCACUUCGAAUAGGAAUAUCUGGAGUGGAAGAAGGAGGAAAGAAGGAAAAUGGCAUGAAAUAUACUAUAUUGAUAUGUUGCUUCAGUAUCUUGGAGGGAAAAGGUAUGGAAUUAAGUUGGACCCUGACUGAGCCUUUGGUGCUGGUAUUAGAAAAGUAUGGGCUGGAGAAAGAUAAAGGAAGUGUUAAAAGGGUUGCUGAAGGUGUUAAAGGUGUGGCAUGUAGUAUUUAACAGAGCUGUUUGAAGUUGAAUGAGCAGGGAAAGGUGAUGUAGGCAUUAUCUAAGUAACAGUCGAGAAGUUUUGGUAUAUUUGCUGUGGUGUUUGUUCAGUUUCCCAAGCAUCGGGGAGGGGGGAACAGCCUGCUCCACCAGGGGCCUCUCCAGCGGCCGCAGGGGGGCUUCGGCUCCAGCGCCUGAAGCGCCUCCUCCCCCUCCUUCUGCACUGACUUUGGUGUCUGUGGAGGGGUUUCUCGCUCUCCCAACUGCUGUUGAGCAGCAGGCUUUUGUUUGUUUCUUUGUUUCUUUGUUUUCGUGGAUGUGCUCUCACAGAGGCAGGGACUGUAUUGCUCAUGGCUUGGCUCUGGGCAGCAGUGAGCCCCUUAGGGGCCGGAUGAAAUUAUCCCUUACCUGCCACGGGGACGCUUCUGGGUUUUUCUCACGGGGGCUGCCACUGCAGUUUCCCACGCCCCCCACUCACACCCCCCGAACCUUGCCAUCAAACCCAAUACACUGGGGAACAGCUAGGUCAUUACUGACUUGUAAAGUAUCAGGGAUUAAAUUAACUAAUGAAACCCUAAAAAGUGAUGGGGGCAGAAGGGGCUGGGAUAACAGUGCCACUUUUGGGGGAUACCAAGCUGAGACUAGGGGAUAAAAUGAUCACUGGGUAAUUAUUGUAUGUACCCAAGGCAGGGACUAACUUGUUGGGAAGGGAUUUGAUGAUUAAAUUGAGCAUUCAAAUAGUAAAUUGUUAGACUGGAAUAUCAGUGUUAUUAAUGGAGUGCUCUCAGGCCCUGAGAGCAAACAUACAUGUAUAGUCACCUCUGAUUGGAAAGGCCCUGAAAUGGGGGCGGAAGCAACAAUAUAGGUGGACAAUUUUAGCUCAGGGGUUUACAGGGCCACCUAUCUAUUUGGGUAAAUUCUAAAAAAAAAAAAAAAAAAAAAAUUUUAAUAUUUUGGAGCAAUUACAACCUCCCAAGGAGGUAUUAAUGUUAACAAAUAUGUGGAUCAUUUUCUAUUGUCAGGACAGGAGAAAAGA
rnacentral:lncRNA from 1 species